GAUGAACGCUGGCGGCGUGCCUAAUACAUGCAAGUCGAGCGAACAGACGAGGAGCUUGCUCCUCUGACGUUAGCGGCGGACGGGUGAGUAACACGUGGAUAACCUACCUAUAAGACUGGGAUAACUUCGGGAAACCGGAGCUAAUACCGGAUAAUAUAUUGAACCGCAUGGUUCAAUAGUGAAAGACGGUUUUGCUGUACCUUAUAGAUGGAUCCGCGGCGGUUUAGCUAGUUGGUAAGUUAACGGACUACCAAGGGAACGAUACGUAGCCGACCGGAGAGGGUGGUCGGCCACCAUGGGAAGGGGACCAGGCACAGAAUCCUGCGGGAGGGAGCAGGAGGGAAUCUUCGGGAAGGGGGGCAAACCUGAACGAGACACGCCGGGGGAGGGAAGAAGGUUUUCGGGUCGUAAAGCUUUUUUGUAAGGCAAGAACAGGUGUGAGAGUGGAAAGUUCACUCCGUGACGGUAGCUAACCAGAAAGCGAGGGCUAACUACGUG
rnacentral:rRNA from 1 species